GUUNGGAGCUCUCCCNUAUGGUCGACCUGCAGGCGGCCGCGAAUUCACUAGUGAUUAGAGUUUGAUCCUGGCUCAGAUUGAACGCUGGCGGCGUGCUUAACACAUGCAAGUCGAACGUGAAAGUCCUUCGGGGCGAGUAAAGUGGCGCACGGGUGAGUAACGCGUGGAUAAUCUACCCUUAAGAUGGGGAUAACGGCUGGAAACGGUCGCUAAUACCGAAUACGCUCCCGAUUUUAUCGUUGGGGGGAAAGAUGGCCUCUGCUUGCAAGCUAUCGCUUAGGGAUGAGUCCGCGUCCCAUUAGCUAGUUGGCGGGGUAACGGCCCACCAAGGCAACGAUGGGUAGCCGGUCUGAGAGGAUGACCGGCCACACUGGAACUGGAACACGGUCCAGACUCCUACGGGAGGCAGCAGUGGGGAAUAUUGCGCAAUGGGCGAAAGCCUGACGCAGCGACGCCGCGUGAGGGAUGAAGGUUCUCGGAUCGUAAACCUCUGUCAGGGGGGAAGAAACCCCCUCGUGUGAAUAAUGCGAGGGCUUGACGGUACCCCCAAAGGAAGCACCGGCUAACUCCGUGCCAGCAGCCGCGGUAAUACGGAGGGUGCAAGCGUUAAUCGGAAUCACUGGGCGUAAAGCGCACGUAGGCGGCUUGGUAAGUCAGGGGUGAAAUCCCACAGCCCAACUGUGGAACUGCCUUUGAUACUGCCAGGCUUGAGUACCGGAGAGGGUGGCGGAAUUCCAGGUGUAGGAGUGAAAUCCGUAGAUAUCUGGAGGAACACCGGUGGCGAAGGCGGCCACCUGGACGGUAACUGACGCUGANGUGCGAAAGCGUGGGUAGCAAACAGGAUUAGAUACCCUGGNAGUCCACGCUGUAAACGAUGGGUGCUGGGUGCUGGGAUGUAUGUCUCGGNGCCGUANCUAACGCGAUAAGCACCCCGCCUGGGGAGUACGGUCGCAAG
rnacentral:rRNA from 1 species